AUGGCAGCGACCCGUGUUCAGGAGUUGCUGCACAAAUAUUGCAACGCAUCCGGCCAAAGAAUCAACCAUACAAAUCAUCAAAAAAUCAGCAAAGGGGUACCGGAGAGUACUCGAGAGGAGGAGAAGAACAUUCUCAAUGUUCAUAACGAGUCUCUGUCAAAGAAGUAUCUUGGCCUGCCUUCGGACGUUGGAAGAUCAAAGGAGGGGUGCUUCAAAUAUCUGAAAGAUAGAGUAUGGAAGCAUGUUCAAGGGUGGAUGGAGAAGUGUUUGUCGGCGGGAGGAAAGGAGGUGUUGAUCAAGUCGGUAGCUCAAGCCAUUCCGACUUAUUCCAUGUCAUGUUUUAAACUACCCCAUGGGCUCUGUGAACAUAUCAACGGUCUCUUGAGGAAAUUUUGGUGA
rnacentral:rRNA from 1 species